rnacentral:snoRNA from 1 species
AGGAGGAUUGAGAAAGUUAAGCAGCUGCAUUUGUUCUGCAUUAACUGGUUAUAACCUCCUAGAAAAAAAAAAAGUGCUAAAGUGC